GUCUACAGCCAUGCUACCCUGAACAAGCCCGAUCCCGUCUGAUCGCAGAAGCUAAGCAAGGUCGGGCCUGGUCAGUACUUGAAUGAGAGACCACCCAGGAAGAACAGGUGCGUUAGGCA
rnacentral:rRNA from 1 species